CCUCUGUGUGGUCGCGUAGGUAGACUCUGACUCAUCAGGAGGAAAAGCUAACAGACAGCAGGCUAUUAAUGUGACUUGUGUUGGAGUAGCAAAUGGAGAAGUUCCACUGUGUCAUCGUGACGAUCAAUGUUAGCGCAGAUAAAAGUGGUUUGUAAGUCACUGCUGAUCUCAGUCAGGUGGAUGUGUGCACUUCAGCUGGUAAAUCCCUCCAGAAGAGUGUGAAUGUCUCUCAUCAUAAUGGUUCCCACAUACUGUACCGUUGUCAGCGCAUUCUUCAAACCGACCACCUGCGGCGAGGAUCGACUUAAACUUAGGGGGGGGUGCCCUGAGGCUGGGAGGAUUUUUCAACCACCCCAACCUGAAGAACACAUCCCACCCCGGCCCGAAAAUACAGCUUGAAAAAAUAUCAUAGUUUCAUUCAACAGAACAGCAACAACGCAAAAAUAUCACCUGUUGAAAAAAUAAAGUUGUCAAAUGUU